UCUGAGUUAGUUUAAAUAAAAAUGUUAGGAUGUGGAUCUAGAGAAAAGAUUGGUUCUUACUCGGUA
rnacentral:tRNA from 1 species